UACGUAGGGGGCUAGCGUUGUCCGGAUUUAUUGGGCGUAAAGAGCGUGUAGGCGGCCAGAUAGGUCUGCUGUGAAAACUCGAGGCUCAACCUCGAGAUGUCGGCGGAAACCAUUUGGCUAGAGUCCGGAAGAGGAAAGUGGAAUUCCUGGUGUAGCGGUGAAAUGCGUAGAUAUCAAGAGGAACACCUGCGGCGAAGGCGGGUUGCUGGGCCGACACUGACGCUGAAGCGCGAAAGCCAGGGGAGCGAACGGG
rnacentral:rRNA from 1 species